AAAACGCCGCUAUUCGGAUAUAACGAUGGAUUAUUUUGGACCAAACCAACAUUUGUUAUUGAAGUAGCAGUCCUGGGAGUGCAUUCUGACGAAGACAACAAAAGGACCAUGCCUCAGGACUACAUGGCCUGAUGACUCCUUGUUGUCCCCAGUCCACCUGGCCGUGCUGCUGCUCCAGUUUCAACUGUUCUGCCUGCGGCUAUGGAACACUGACCUGUUCACCAGACGUGCUACCUGUCCCAGACCUGCUGUUUUCAACUCUCUAGAGACAGCAGGAGCGGUAGAGAUACUCUGAAUGAUCGGCUAUGAAAAGCCAACUGACAUUUACUCCUGAGCUGCUGACCUGUUGUACCCUCGACAACCACUGUGAUUAUUAUUAUUUGACCCUGCUGGUCAUCGAUGAAUAUUUGAACAUCUUGGCCAUUAUAAUCUCCACCCGACACAGCCAGAAGAGGACUGGCCACCCCUCAUAGCCUGGUUCCUCUCUAGGUUUCUUCCUAGGUUCUGGCCUUUCUAGGGAGUUUUUCCUAGCCACCGUGCUUCUACACCUCCAUUACAUACUGUUUGGGGUUUUAGGCUGGGUUUCUGUACAGCACUUUGAGAUAUCAGCUGAUGUAAGAAGGGCUUUAUAAAUAAAUUUGAUUUGAUUUGAUACAUUCAUCACAUAUAGCCAACUUUGUAAAUACAAUUCAGGGAUGGCCACAAUUGCUCUUGGCAAGAUAUAGGUUUUUGCAGGCUUUUUUGUUCAAGACCAGUUCUACCACACCUGAUUCUACUAUUCAUGGUCUCAAUGAACAGUGGAGGUCUUGAUGAACAGCUGAGUAGUAGAAUCAGGUGUGGUAGCACUGGGCUUGAACAGAAAAGCCUCCAUAACACUGUGGAUCGUCAAGAGCAAUUUUGAUAACUCCUGACACAAACACUGCAGCAAAUGACAAACUGCUGAGAAGUACCAUUAAAAUACAAGUGCAAAACUCUUAAGAAACAUUAUAGCCAUAUUUACAAAUCUGAAAUUGGAUAGGUGCUGUAGAUCCUUGAAUAUAAAACUUCAGCAACAAAUGUCCUAAGUAAUGCUGUAUACAGCUGUCCAUCUGUGACAGAUGCAUGAUCACAAUCCGCCACUAUGCCAUAAAGAAAAGUGCUUCUCAUGGAUUAGGGCAACGCCAUCUUUCUUCCUUGGGAGUCUUUGAGCUGGUCUCUCCUCUGUUCUGUCAAGACGUACGCAGUAGUACACACCACCACA
rnacentral:lncRNA from 1 species